UUGCUUUGGCGGCACAUCUACUAAACUUGGAACGAUACAGAAAAUAUCACUGUGACCUCUGCGCAAGGAUGACACGCAAAAAAAAGAAAAAUAAAGGAUAGAC